CCAGAUUCACGCGCACGGACGGCCCAGAUUCAAUCAGGCACAGACGGCCCAGAUUACAUCACGAUGAACGGCCCAGAUUUAAUCCCAAUUAAAUCGCGAUCGAACGGCCCAGAUUCAAUCUUGAUGGACGGUCAAGAUUAAAAGGCGAAGGGUAUAAAUACCCCCACCCACACCUGACCAAAGAAACCCUAGCCGCCAGUGCUCGCCGGAGAAGAAGAACCAG
rnacentral:lncRNA from 1 species